rnacentral:sRNA from 1 species
GCCGGGCAUGGUGGCGCAUACCUGUAGUCCCAGCUACUUGGGAGGCUGAGGUAGGAGGAUCGCUUGAGCCCAGGAGUUGGAGGUUGCUGUGAGCUAGGCUGACGCCACGGCACUCACUCUAGCCUGGGCAAUAAAGUGAGACACUGUCUCAAAAAAAAAAAAAAAAAAAAGAGACAGGGUCUUCUUCUGUCACCCAGGCUGCAGUGCAGUGGUGCGAUCACAGUUCACUGUAACCUUGACCUCCUGGGCUCAAGCGAUCCUCCUGCUUCA